UCGGGAAUUUUGGGCAAUGGGCGAAAGCCUGACCCAGCAACGCCGCGUGAAGGAUGAAGUAUUUCGGUACGUAAACUUCGAAAGAAUAGGAAGAAUAAAUGACGGUACUAUUUAUAAGGUCCGGCUAACUACGUGCCAGCAGCCGCGGUAAUACGUAGGGACCAAGCGUUGUUCGGAUUUACUGGGCGUAAAGGGCGCGUAGGCGGCAAUUCAAGUCAUCUGUGAAAUCUCCGGGCUUAACUCGGAACGGUCAGAUGAUACUGCUUUGCUAGAGUGCAGAAGGGGCAAUCGGAAUUCUUGGUGUAGCGGUGAAAUGCGUAGAUAUCAAGAGGAACACCUGAGGUGAAGACGGGUUGCUGGGCUGACACUGACGCUGAGGCGCGAAAGCCAGGGGAGCAAACGGGAUUAGAUACCCCAGUAGUCCCUGAGCGGGCUGGCAAGGCGCAU
rnacentral:rRNA from 1 species